GUCAGGAUGGCUGAGUGGUCUAAGGCGCUAAAUUCAAGUUCUCGGGGCGUGGGUUCAAAUCCCACUCCUGACA